UCAUGGAUAAAACACCUAAAUCUUACUAGAAUUUGUUCAACCAGUUUGUAUACCACUAUUAAAGUAAUAUUUAAUUAUUAUUACUUAAAACUUUUUAGAAA
rnacentral:rRNA from 1 species